AAGUCGAACGAUGAACCACUUCGGUGGGGAUUAGUGGCGAACGGGUGAGUAACACGUGGGCAAUCUGCCCUGCACUCUGGGACAAGCCCUGGAAACGGGGUCUAAUACCGGAUACGAGCCUCCUCCGCAUGGUGGGGGUUGGAAAGCUCCGGCGGUGCAGGAUGAGCCCGCGGCCUAUCAGCUUGUUGGUGAGGUAACGGCUCACCAAGGCGACGACGGGUAGCCGGCCUGAGAGGGCGACCGGCCACACUGGGACUGAGACACGGCCCAGACUCCUACGGGAGGCAGCAGUGGGGAAUAUUGCACAAUGGGCGAAAGCCUGAUGCAGCGACGCCGCGUGAGGGAUGAAGGCCUUCGGGUUGUAAACCUCUUUCAGCAGGGAAGAAGCGAAAGUGACGGUACCUGCAGAAGAAGCGCCGGCUAACUACGUGCCAGCAGCCGCGGUAAUACGUAGGGCGCAAGCGUUGUCCGGAAUUAUUGGGCGUAAAGAGCUCGUAGGCGGCUUGUCGCGUCGGUUGUGAAAGCCCGGGGCUUAACCCCGGGUCUGCAGUCGAUACGGGCAGGCUAGAGUUCGGUAGGGGAGAUCGGAAUUCCUGGUGUAGCGGUGAAAUGCGCAGAUAUCAGGAGGAACACCGGUGGCGAAGGCGGAUCUCUGGGCCGAUACUGACGCUGAGGAGCGAAAGCGUGGGGAGCGAACAGGAUUAGAUACCCUGGUAGUCCACGCCGUAAACGGUGGGCACUAGUGUGGGCGACAUUCCACGUCGUCCGUGCCGCAGCUAAC
rnacentral:rRNA from 1 species